GAGGGGUAACAGAAAAGCUUGCUUUUGCUGACGACCGGCGCACGGGUGCGUAACGCGUAUGCAACCUACCUCAUACUGGAGGAUAGCCCCUGGAAACGGGGAUUAAUACUCCAUAGUAUCACAAUUUCGCAUGUUAUUGUGAUUAAAGUUUUUCGGUAUGAGAUGGGCAUGCGUCCCAUUAGCUUGUUGGUGAGGUAACGGCUCACCAAGGCAACGAUGGGUAGGGGGCCUGAGAGGGUGGUCCCCCACACUGGUACUGAGACACGGACCAGACUCCUACGGGAGGCAGCAGUGAGGAAUAUUGGUCAAUGGAGGAAACUCUGAACCAGCCAUGCCGCGUGAAGGAUGACGGCCCUAUGGGUUGUAAACUUCUUUUAUAGAGGAAGAAACUUGUCUACGUGUAGACAACUGACGGUACUCUACGAAUAAGGAUCGGCUAACUCCAUGCCAGCAGCCGCGGUAAUACGGAGGAUCCAAGCGUUAUCCGGAUUCAUUGGGUUUAAAGGGUCCGUAGGCGGAUUUUUAAGUCAGUGGUGAAAGCCGACAGCUCAACUGUCGAACUGCCAUUGAUACUGGAAAUCUUGAGUACAAAUGAAGUAGGCGGAAUGAGUCAUGUACCGGUGAAAUGCAAACAUGUACUGACCCUGAAGGC
rnacentral:rRNA from 1 species